rnacentral:rRNA from 1 species
GCAAGUCGAACGAGAAAGCUCCUUCGGGAGUGAGUAGAGUGGCGCACGGGUGAGUAACACGUGGAUAAUCUGCCUGAUAAUCUGGGAUAACAUUUCGAAAGGAAUGCUAAUACCGGAUAAGCCCACAGCCUCUUCGGAGGCAGCGGGAAAAGAUGGCCUCUUCUUGAAAGCUAUUGUUAUCAGAUGAGUCCGCGGUCCAUUAGCUAGUUGGUAGGGUAACGGCCUACCAAGGCGACGAUGGUUAGCUGGUCUGAGAGGAUGAUC